CCUACGGGGGGCAGCAGUGAGGAAUAUUGGUCAAUGGUCGGGAGACUGAACCAGCCAAGCCGCGUGAGGGAUGAAGGUACAGAGUAUCGUACACCUCUUUUGUCAGGGAACAAAGGCUGGGACGCGUCCACGGCUGAGUGUACCUUAAGAACAAGCAUCGGCAAACUCCGUGCCAGCAGCCGCGGUAAUACGGGGGAUGCGCGCGUUAUCCGGAUUAAUUGGGUUAAAAGGUGGAGCAGGCGGGAGGUUAUUUCAGCGGUCAAAGCCCGGGGCUAAACCCCGGCCCGCCGUUGAAACUGGCAGGCGAGAGUUGGAGAGAAGUAGGCGGAAUGCGCGGUGUAGCGGUGAAAUGCAUAGAUAUCGCGAAGAACUCCGAUUGCGAAGGCAGCAUGCCGGCUCCAAACUGACGCUGAGGCACGAAAGCGUGGGUAUCGAACAGGAUUAGAUACCCUAGUAGUC
rnacentral:rRNA from 1 species